CAAUAGCGUAUAUUAAAGUUGUUGCAGUUAAAAAGCUCGUAGUUGGAUUUGUGGCGUACGGUGUGUUCCGGGCACUUGUUGUCUGAGUAACCUGCUGUUGCCAUCCUUGGGUGGAACCUGUGUGGCAUUAGGUUGUCGUGCCGGGGAUGCCCAUCAUUUACUGUGAAAAAAUUAGAGUGUUCAAAGCAGGCUUAUGCCGUUGAAUAUAUUAGCAUGGAAUAAUGAGAUAGGACUUUUUUGCUAUUUUGUUGGUUUGCGCAAAGAGGUAAUGAUUAAUAGGGACAGUUGGGGGUAUUCGUAUUCCAUUGUCAGAGGUGAAAUUCUUGGAUUUUUGGAAGACGAACUACUGCGAAAGCAUUUACCAAGGAUGUUUUCAUUAA
rnacentral:rRNA from 1 species